rnacentral:rRNA from 1 species
AACGAACGCUGGCGGCAUGCCUAACACAUGCAAGUCGAACGAGAUCCUUCGGGGUCUAGUGGCGCACGGGUGCGUAACGCGUGGGAAUCUGCCCUUAGGUUCGGAAUAACAGUUAGAAAUGACUGCUAAUACCGGAUGAUGACGUUAAGUCCAAAGAUUUAUCGCCUGAGGAUGAGCCCGCGUAGGAUUAGCUAGUUGGUGUGGUAAAGGCGCACCAAGGCGACGAUCCUUAGCUGGUCUGAGAGGAUGAUCAGCCACACUGGGACUGAGACACGGCCCAGACUCCUACGGGAGGCAGCAGUGGGGAAUAUUGGACAGUGGGCGCAGGCCUGAUGCAGCAAUGCCGCGUGAGUGAUGAAGGCCUUGGAGUUGAAAAGCUCUUUUAACCGGGAUGAUAAUGACGGUACCGGGAGAAUAAGCCCCGGCUAACUCCGUG